CAUGCAGUCGAGGGGUAACAGAGUAGCUUGCUACUGCUGACGACCGGCGCACGGGUGCCUUUCGCGUAUACAAUCUACCUUUUGCUACGGGAUAGCCCAGAGAAAUUUGGAUUAAUAUCGUAUAGUAUGCAUUAGUUUCAUGACUUAUGUAUUAAAGGUUACGGCAAAAGAUGAGUAUGCGUCCUAUUAGCUAGAUGGUAAGGUAACGGCUUACCAUGGCUACGAUAGGUAGGGGCCCUGAGAGGGGGAUCCCCCACACUGGUACUGAGACACGGACCAGACUCCUACGGGAGGCAGCAGUGAGGAAUAUUGGACAAUGGAGGCAACUCUGAUCCAGCCAUGNCGCGUGNGGAUGACUGCCCUAUGGGUUGUAAACUGCUUUUAUACAGGAAGAAACAUUGCUACGUGUAGCGCUUGACGGUACUGUAAGAAUAAGGAUCGGCUAACUCCGUGCCAGCAGCCGCGGUAAUACGGAGGAUCCAAGCGUUAUCCGGAAUCAUUGGGUUUAAAGGGUCCGUAGGUGGAUAAUUAAGUCAGAGGUGAAAGUUUGCAGCUCAACUGUAAAAUUGCCUUUGAUACUGGUUAUCUUGAAUCAUUAUGAAGUGGUUAGAAUAUGUAGUGUAGCGGUGAAAUGCAUAGAUAUUACAUAGAAUACCAAUUGCGAAGGCAGAUCACUAAUAAUGUAUUGACACUGAUGGACGAAAGCGUGGGGAGCGAACAGGAUUAGAUACCCUGGUAGUCCACGCCGUAAACGAUGGAUACUAGCUGUUCGGUUUUCGGACUGAGUGGCUAAGCGAAAGUGAUAAGUAUCCCACCUGGGGAGUACGUUCGCAAGAAUGAAACUCAAAGGAAUUGACGGGGGCCCGCACAAGCGGUGGAGCAUGUGGUUUAAUUCGAUGAUACGCGAGGAACCUUACCAGGGCUUAAAUGUAGAUUGACAGGACUAGAGAUAGUUUUUUCUUCGGACAAUUUACAAGGUGCUGCAUGGUUGUCGUCAGCUCGUGCCGUGAGGUGUCAGGUUAAGUCCUAUAACGAGCGCAACCCCUGUGGUUAGUUGCCAUCGAGUAAUGUCGGGAACUCUAGCCAGACUGCCAGUGCAAACUGUGAGGAAGGUGGGGAUGACGUCAAAUCAUCACGGCCCUUACGUCCUGGGCUACACACGUGCUACAAUGGUAGGGACAGAGAGCAGCCACUUCGCGAGAAGGAGCGAAUCUAUAAACCCUAUCACAGUUCGGAUCGGAGUCUGCAACUCUACUCCGUGAAGCUGGAAUCGCUAGUAAUCGCAUAUCAGCCAUGAUGCGGUGAAUACGUUCCCGGGCCUUGUACACACCGCCCGUCAAGCCAUGGAAGCUGGGAGUGCCUGAAGUCCGUCA
rnacentral:rRNA from 1 species